rnacentral:rRNA from 1 species
AGGAUGAACGCUGGCGGCGUGCCUAACACAUGCAAGUCGAACGUCCUGUCUCGCAAGAGGCAGGGAGUGGCGGACGGGUGAGUACCACGUGGGUCAUCUACCGUGAGGUGAGGAAUACCGGCGAGAAAUCGCCGACAAGACCGCAUAGCCUCGGUGCAAGCCGAGGAAAGCUCUCUCGAGAGAGGGAGCGCCACACGAGGAGCCUGCGCCCGAUUAGCUAGCUGGUGGAGUAACGGUUCACCAGGGCGACGAUCGGUAGCUGGUCUGAGAGGACGAUCAGCCACACUGGGAUUGAGAACGGCCCAGACUCCUACGAGGGGCAGCAGUGAGGAAUUUCGUCAAUGGGGGCAACCCUGAACGAGCAACGCCGCGUGCAGGAAGAAGGUUUUCGGAUCGUAAACUGCUUUUUCGUCGGGGAAGAGGAACGGACGGUACCCGAGGAAUCGAGCCCCGGCUAACUACGUGCCAGCAGCCGC